rnacentral:tRNA from 1 species
GCGGGCGUGGCUGAGUGGUCAGGCAACGGUCUGCAAAGCCGUCUACGCGGGUUCGAUUCCCGCCGCUCGCU